rnacentral:rRNA from 1 species
GACGAACGCUGGCGGCGUGCCUAACACAUGCAAGUCGAACGGAAAGGCCCUGCUUUUGUGGGGUGCUCGAGUGGCGAACGGGUGAGUAACACGUGAGUAACCUGCCCUUGACUUUGGGAUAACUCCAGGAAACUGGGGCUAAUACCGGAUAGGAGCUCUUGCUGCAUGGUGGGGGUUGGAAAGUUUCGGCGGUUGGGGAUGGACUCGCGGGUUAUCAGCUUGUUGGUGGGGUAGUGGCUUACCAAGGCUUUGACGGGUAGCCGGCCUGAGAGGGUGACCGGCCACAAGAGUACUGCGGUACGGCCCAGACGGCAACGGGAGGCAGCGGUGGAAAGCAUUACGGAGUAAGCGGAAGCCAGAGACGACGGCGUUGCGUUCGGAAAGACGGCUUACGGGGUAUAAACAGCUUUCGACUGUAAUGAAGAGGUAGUGACGGUAAUUAGUAAGAAAGCAACGGCUAACUACGUG